rnacentral:rRNA from 1 species
CCUACGGGUGGCUGCAGUGGGGAAUAUUGGGCAAUGGAGGCAACUCUGACCCAGCCAUGCCGCGUGCGGGACGAAGGCGCACAGCGUUGUAAACCGCUUUUCUCCGGGGAUAAGGCUCUCUUAGGGGGAGAUUGAAGGUACUGGAGGAAUCAGCACCGGCAAACUACGUGCCAGCAGCCGCGGUAAUACGUAGGGUGCGAGCGUUGUCCGGAUUUACUGGGUUUAAAGGGUGCGUAGGCGGGCUGUUAAGUCUGGGAUGAAAUUGGCGCGCUCAA